rnacentral:lncRNA from 1 species
GGGCGGAUCUGGGGGCGGAGGCGGGCCACGAUAGGCUUGAAGGGAGGGAUAUAGGGGCGGAACCUUCCGCGAGGGUGGGGCUGUCCUAGAGGCGGUGGCGGAAAGCAAGGAAGCAGGGGUUCGGCGAGGCCCUGCCCUACAGGGCUUGGCAGGGUUCGUGGCCGUUUGGGGUUGGUCCGAAGGGACAUCAUGUCCGUCGGGGGCGGGAUCGUCGUCACUGUCAAAGGACAUCAAGUCCUCUUCUUUGUCUGACAAAGAAGUCGUGGUCUCAACGGGCCUGGGCCCCGGCGCCAUAUUGGCCCGGGAGACUGCGUCAGAAUCACUGGCGGGUGUCAGCCCCUUACCAUCUCGGAGAGCUACCUCCCCAGCCUGUAUAGCCUGCGCCACCAGUGGAUCCCUCGCUUUAUGAGAAAUAAUAUCAUUAAUCAAAUUCCAAUAUGAGAACGCCGCAAUCGGGACCUUCCCGGGUCCGCAAGUGGCAUAAUAAUCCUGGAGAGCUUCCCCCACCUUUUUCCAUCUCUGUUCGUCAAUGGUUCCCUCAGCAGGGAACCCACGUUGGGCGCCACUUGUCCCGGCCCGCGGCAACAACACCACCUCAUAUGAUGAAGCAAUAUCCAGUGUGAUGGUAUUCGGAGGUGGGACUUCUGAAGUUGGAUUAGCCCAUGAGGAGAACCAUAUUUUCCACUACUACUUCCUUUGAGAAACAGUACCUGAAUCUAUUAGCAAUGAGACUGUCAAAUUAUGCUAAAAACUACAAAGAUAGAAACAUAAGGAUCAGGCUUGUACAACAGGCUGCAAAAGAACCUAC